UAAUACGUAGGGCGCAAGCGUUGUCCGGAUUUAUUGGGCGUAAAGGGCUCGUAGGCGGUUCGGUAAGUCGGGUGUGAAAACUCAGGGCUCAACCCUGAGACGCCACUCGAUACUGCCAUGACUAGAGUCCGGUAGAGGAGUGCGGAAUUCCUGGUGUAGCGGUGAAAUGCGCAGAUAUCAGGAGGAACACCGACAGCGAAGGCAGCACUCUGGGCCGGUACUGACGCUGAGGAGCGAAAGCGUGGGGAGCAAACAGGAUUAGAUACCCUGGUAGUCCACGCCGUAAACGUUGGGCACUAGGUGUGGGUCCCAUCCAACGGGAUCCGUGCCGCAGCUAACGCAUUAAGUGCCCCGCCUGGGGAGUACGGCCGCAAGGCUA
rnacentral:rRNA from 1 species